rnacentral:rRNA from 1 species
CCCUUAGAUGUUCUGGGCCGCACGCGCGCUACACUGAUGCAUUCAACGAGUGUACCUUGGCCGAGAGGCCUGGGCAAUCUUUUGAACGUGCAUCGUGAUAGGGAUAGAUUAUUGCAAUUAUUAAUCUUGAACGAGGAAUUCCUAGUAAACGCAGUUCAUCAAACUGCAUUGAUUACGUCCCUGCCCUUUGUACACACCGCCCGUCGCUCCUACCGAUUGGGUGUGCUGGUGAAAUGUUCGGAUCGGCCGUUUGUCGCGGUUUCCGCGUCAUGUGGCUGAGAAGUUCAUUAAACCCUCCCACCUAGAGGAAGGAGAAGUCGUAACA